AGAUACCAGGCGCCCUACUUUCUUCACCCCCAGCCGAAGAAUGAGAUAUCCCUCCGCCUGUGGCUAAAAGUUGUAAAUUUGAAGAAACCACCGAAACAAUGAUAUGUUUGUUCUUUUAAUUUCCUGGACAAAAUACCGAUAGAAGACCACACGAUGCCAGAAAAGUGGCCAGGCUACGAAGUUCCAUUAAAAUCUCUGUGGAGACGUCAAGAGGGCAGCAGACAGAUGACUGCCGCUGUGAUGCAGAGGCUGACCGGACCGCUCCAUAAUCAGAGUCACCUAUGCAGAAAGAUGCUAAUACUACAGGCACCGAAGGAUCACACCUAGGAGAAGAGAAGAACAGUGCAUGUGUACUCCUCUGGCAUACCAGAGGAGUGUCUCUGACACAUGGAAGAACACAUAAUGUAUUUGCUGGCCACUCAUAUUUCAGAUAUAUUACCUGUCCAGGUGUACCCUGCCUCUCGCCAUUGACUGCUGGAGAUAGGCACCAGCACCCCUCGCCAUCCCAACAAGGAUAAGGGUGUAGGAAAAUGGAUGGUAAUAAAUUAGUACAAAAAGUAUGAAUAAUGUUUUUAUUUUUCUAAUCAACAGAUUGUGCAGCUUUUUAAGAUAAAAGUCUGAUCUUUUGUUCAUUGAUGCUGUUUAAGGUCAUUCAAGUUUGGGUAAUGUUCUCUCAAAACACCACCUCUUCCUGUCUGUGGAUGUGAGCACACCAUUCUAUAACAGUCUAAUCUUGAAUGGCAAGUUGGAUAAGUACAUCAGGAAGAUAAGUAGAAAAAUAUGGACGGUUUAUAGUUGUCACUACAAACUAUCCAUAUUUUAUAUAAAUAUGAUGACACCAAGUACUGUAAUAUAAAUAAAAAAAUAACUGUUCCUUUAACUUUGUUAAAAGGUGCAGUUUGCCGUGGCCAAAGGUCUGACUGGAUUGUCCUGAACAGAUGAGCUGUGCCGUCCCCAAAAGGCUGAAUGAUGGAUGUUUCCUGCACCACAAGAAUUAAAUGGCCUACAAAUAUGCCAUAAGUGAAAUGUACUACAUUUAAUGUAAACAAAUUGCAUUAAUUAAAUAAAUGAAAUACUCUUA